rnacentral:misc_RNA from 1 species
CCAGCCCUGAUCCUCCACUUCCAGAACCAGAAACAUACACAACUCAUUCAUUUCACAAAACUCUUACUGCUUCAGACACAAGCACCCGUGGCUGUUUAUUUAUUUAUCGAAAACAUGCAGAGGACUGUCUUCCUCCAUUGGAUAUGUCCCAGCAGCCACCUAGGCAGGAAUUGGUUGCAACUGAUCUGCAUAGAAACAAGUGGC